rnacentral:miRNA from 1 species
GCCGGCUGGAAGGGUUUCCUUCCAGCCGGCGAGGUACAUGUACCUCGACAGCUGGAAGGAAAUCCUUCCAGUCGACGAGGUACAUGUACCUUGCCGGCUGGAAGGAAACCCUUCCAGCCGGC